GAUGAACGCUGGCGACGUGCCUAAUACAUGCAAGUCGAGCGAAUGGAUUAAGAGCUUGCUCUUAUGAAGUUAGCGGCGGACGGGUGAGUAACACGUGGGUAACCUGCCCAUAAGACUGGGAUAACUCCGGGAAACCGGGGCUAAUACCGGAUAAUAUUUUGAACUGCAUGGUUCAAAAUUGAAAGGCGGCUUCGGCUGUCACUUAUGGAUGGACCCGGGUCGCAUUAGCUAGUUGGUGAGGUAACGGCUCACCAAGGCAACGAUGCGUACCCGACCUGAGAGGGUGAUCGGCCACACUGGGACUGAGACACGGCCCAGACUCCUACGGGAGGCAGCAGUAGGGAAUCUUCCGCAAUGGACGAAAGUCUGACGGAGCAACGCCGCGUGAGUGAUGAAGGCUUUCGGGUCGUAAAACUCUGUUGUUAGGGAAGAACAAGUGCUAGUUGAAUAAGCUGGCACCUUGACGGUACCUAACCAGAAAGCCACGGCUAACUACGUGCCAGCAGCCGCCGUAA
rnacentral:rRNA from 1 species